GAGUUUGAUCAUGGCUCAGAAUGAACGUUGGCGGCGUGGAUUAGGCAUGCAAGUCGAGCGAGAAAUUCUUUUUUGAUUUCUUCGGAAUGAUUUAUUGAAUGGACAGCGGCGCAAGGGAGAGUAACGCGUGGAAGUUUACCUUGAGGAUCGGGAUAGCUGCGGGAAACUGCAGGUAAUACCGAAUAAUGUCCCCGGACCAAACUUUUUGGCCUCAAGAGAACUCCGCGUCCUACUAGCUUGUUGGUGGUGUAACGGACCACCAAGGCGAUGAUGGGUAGCGGGUGUGAGAGCAUGACCCGCCUCACUGGGACUGAGACACUGCCCAGACACCUACGGGUGGCUGCAGUCGAGAAUCUUCGGCAAUGGACGCAAGUCUGACCGAGCGACGCCGCGUGCGGGAUGAAGGCCUUCGGGUUGUAAACCGCUGUCAGAGGGGAGGAAAGCUUCGGCUUGACUGAACCCCAGAGGAAGCACGGGCUAAGUUCGUGCCAGCAGCCGCGGUAACACGAACCGUGCGAACGUUAUUCGGAAUCACUGGGCUUAAAGGGUGCGUAGGCGGCUUUGCAAGUGGGAUGUGAAAUCCCUCAGCUCAACUGAGGAACUGCGUUCCAAACUGCAAAGCUAGAGGGAGACAGAGGUAAGCGGAACUGAUGGUGGAGCGGUGAAAUGCGUUGAUAUCAUCAGGAACACCAGUGGCGAAGGCGGCUUACUGGGUCUCUUCUGACGCUGAGGCACGAAAGCUAGGGUAGCGAACGGGAUUAGAUACCCCGGUAGUCCUAGCUGUAAACGAUGAGUACUGGGAUCGUGGGGCCUUCCACAGCCUCUCGGUCGUAGCGAAAGUGUUAAGUACUCCGCCUGGGGGAGUAUGGUCGCAAGGCUGAACUCAAGGGAAUUGACGGGGCUCACACAGCGGUGGAGGAUGUGGCUUAAUUUCGAGGAUGCGCGAGAACCUUAUCCUGNCUUGACAUGUUUAGGACCUCGGUGAAAGUCGAGGGGUGCCCUUCGGGGGAGCCUUUA
rnacentral:rRNA from 1 species